UCGGCUCUUCCGGUCUGCGCGGUUGCUAAGCAGCUCUCUCGGCGUCGCACAGGUCGCCUCGUUGGCAGCAGCUCCUCCGGCGUUCAGCGGCCAGCGGCUCGUUUCCUACAAACUCAUCAUCGACCGCGUUUAACCCGGAAAUGGGUCCGCGCCGGUACCGGGGGAAGCGCGGCGGGGGGGGGCCACGGGCAACGGGACACCCCGCUGAAAGCCCCGCUGGGCACGCGAGUCAGUAAGAGACGGACACACGCGCACGCACACUUUACAUGUACAGGUGACGACGUAAAAUACACUAUAAGACUAAAACUAGAUUUACAUUUAGUUCACCAACCAAACAAUAAAGGAACCAAAGAAACAUCCGUGCUGUGUGACCUGCUUUCAGGGAGCAGGAGACUUGUGCACCAGCAGCGUUAUGAAACACUUCCAGAGGAGCCCGAGAUGGAGGAGAUGGACCUUCCAGAGGUUGCGAGCAUCAAGCUCGUCCCCUCCAGGUCGAUUCGGCAGAAGCUCGAAGACGAAGCCCUCAGAGCUCCUCAAACAUCCGCACAGCCAGACUCACCUGCAGGUCUCCAGAGGACCCCCGAGGCCUCUGAACCGGGUCACAUGACCCCGCCAAACCCGACAGUGACUCUGGGAAGCAUCACAUCGUCUGGGACGGAGUCGGACCCAACGGUCAGCUGUGAUGAGGAGGAGGAGGAGGAGGAGGAAGAGUUGUCUGUAACCCCCAGCAGCAGUCUUCCCUCCCCAGAGCUCCUGAGAGCAGGCAGCUGUGGAACCUCUACGAUUCAAGCUGAAAAGAACGGUGAGAUCAACAGAGAACCUGAUGCAGAGAGCAACAUACACGCAGACCCAUUUAAAUCAGGUAGAGAUCCGUAAAC
ensembl:lncRNA